ACGUAAACAACCUGCCUUCAGGAUGGGGACAACAGACGGAAACGACUGCUAAUACCGAAUAAGUUCCAAGAGCCGCAUGGCCCAUGGAAGAAAAGGUGGCCUCUACCUGUAAGCUAUCGCCUGAAGAGGGGUUUGCGUCUGAUUAGCUGGUUGGAGGGGUAACGGCCCACCAAGGCGACGAUCAGUAGCCGGUCUGAGAGGAUGAACGGCCACACUGGAACUGAGACACGGUCCAAACUCCUACGGGAGGCAGCAUG
rnacentral:rRNA from 1 species